GGUUGAUCCUGCCAGUAGUCAUAUGCUUGUCUCAAAGAUUAAGCCAUGCAUGUCUAAGUAUAAACCACCUUUAUACGGCGAGACUGCGGAUGGCUCAUUAAAUCAGUUAUAGUUUAUUUGAUGGUCCCAUUUGUGGGUUCAGUUCGGCGUAAAAAACCGGGUUGGGCCCAUAAACCUACUUGGAUAACCGUAGUAAUCCUAGAGCUAAUACAUGCGUGAGGCCCCGGGCUGGGUCCGUGCGGGGGGGUGGGGGUUCGCCUCUGCUUCUUCGUGCGGAGCACCCCCAGCGAAGG
rnacentral:rRNA from 1 species